UACGUAGGGUGCGAGCGUUAAUCGGAAUUACUGGGCGUAAAGGGUGCGCAGGCGGCUCCGCAUGUCGGGCGUGAAAGCCCCGGGCUUAACCCGGGAAUGGCGUCCGAAACUAUGGAGCUGGAGUGUGGCAGAGGGAGGUGGAAUUCCACGUGUAGCGGUGGAAUGCGCAGAUAUCAGGAGGAACACCGAUGGCGAAGGCAGUUCUCUGGGCCGUAACUGACGCUGAGGAGCGAAAGCGUGGGGAGCGAACAGG
rnacentral:rRNA from 1 species